GGAGGUUAGAGUGUGGCCAGGGAACUUCCUCUUCACCGUUGUCCUAACACCAGCUACGACGUAGAUCUUCCUGGAGAUGUUAUCUGCCACAUCCUCUGUGUGAGCACAGUUAAGCAAAAGAAAUUUGUUUCCUGACCCUCACCACCACCACCACCACCACCACCACCACAUGGUUUGUGAGCACUGUUCACGUAUUUAUGGGUGUCUCAGUGUGUUUUCUUUGUGGGUCUGUUUUGCUGUGUGGUGUGCUAUUAACUGUCUGUUCUUGUCCCUUAGGCUUAACAGCCUCUGUGUGUUACAGGUGUUGGAAACGUUUUACUUUGUCUAGGGAUUUCUUCGAUGACGGUACAACCCUAAGGGGAAAUUGAGAGAAAUAUAAUUGUGUGGGGGACAUGGACGUCUCCCUCUCAUUCUUCAACGAAUCCAAAGAAAAACCAGAGAAAAGAGGGAGGAUGUUGGUAACAGAUCUUUAUUCAUUCAACAAACAUUCAGUGAGCACCUACUACGUGCCAGUCACCUUUGGGAUAAAUUAGGGAACAACCGAGCACACAUACUAGACAACAACAAAAACCCUGGCUUUGAGGAGCUUGCCUUCUAGUGGGCAGAGACAAGCAAACAAUUAUAAUAAGGAAAUAAAUUACAUAACGUGUUGACAGAACAACGUGCAUUCAAGACAGAACAGAAGAAGACCGGGUAAAUGGGAAGUGUGUGUGUGUGUGUGUGUGUGUGUGUGGGGUGAGGUGGUGACACUUGAAAUAAUAAGUGUAGGAGCGAGCCAUAUUGAAAGGUGACAUUUAUUCGAAGUCAUGAAAGAGAUGACGGAGGUAGCCAUGCAGACAUCUGGGGAAAGAAUGCUCCAGGCUGAAAGAACAGAAGGUGCCAAAGCCCUCACUUUGGGAGCAGGAAGGAGGUCACCGUAGGCAAAGGGGAGUGAGAAAGGAGGAGGGUCCUAGGAGAUCAGGGAAGAGAGGGAACUAGUGGCCACGUCACAGAUGGCCUUGUCGGCGAUCACAAGGACUCCUAGUUUACCCUGAAGAGCAACGAACGCUGUUGGUUUGGAGCAGAGGCAUCACGUGAUCCGAUUGUAGGUUUCGGUGGCAUUAUUCUGGCUGCCGGAUUGAUUAUCAGCGGGCCGGUUUGGUGCGGCUGCUGGGGAGAGUGAAGCAGGGAACCAAGUCAGGAAACAAUUCCAAUCAUGUAGGGCAAAGACUGAUGGUGGCUUGGAACAGGAUGGGAGCAGUGGAGGUGGUGGGAAGUGGCCAGAUUCUGGACAUAUUUGGUCAAAAGAGCUCCCAGGACUGCCUGACAGGUUGAAAAUGAGAGGGGAGUCACAGAGCCGGGUGAAGGAUGCCCCUCCAGUCUGUGGCACAAACAGCUGGAAGGACAGAGUUGCCAUUCCCCUGCGGUGGGAAAUAGUGCCGGUGAAGGGGGUUUGUAGGGGCGCAUGGGGGAUUUCAGCCUUGGGCUUGUUCAUUCGGGCUGACUCUCAGGCAGUUUUCUCGGCGAAUGAGAAAGGGAGGUCAUCCGCUAAGAGUGAGGAUGGGAGAGGCAGUGUUGGAGGCUGCAAGAGAGAAAAUAAGUGUUGAAACGGAAGGGUGGGCAGCCGUGGGGGCAUGAGAGAAAUGAGUCGUUUGAGGAUUUGGACUAAGAAUCUGGUGGAAAGCUGUUUCCGUUUCAGUGGAGACCCUGGGUGUGCCAAGAUCUGACAAGGUUCAUUCUUGCCGAUCCAGUCCGAAAACGGUAGCUUUUGCUGGCCCUGCAGCCUGCGAAUCCAGGUGUGCUCUUGCUGGAGAGGGUGGCAUGGAUAGGUCUGAGGGAGGAUAUAAGUCAUCUGUGUUGACAGUUACUCACUUCUUCAGUCAUGCUGAAGAAGCACAGAUAGGCCUAAGGCCUGACAGGAUAGACCCCAAGUCACCUGGACUUCUGCCGUUUGCAAAACUGCGCUUUGAGUUUGGCUUAGAGAGCAAGAAGUGGCACAAUUAGGCAAUUUGACCCAAAUGUGAAAGUGAGACACACGUCGGAGAGGACAUUCGGAGGAUGAAAAAGGAAAGCAGGAAGCCCCAGCACCUUCUCCCCAAUGGGAGAGAAGUAAGGGCUGGCUUAGGAACAAGUUUCAAAGCCCUGCUGGCCCGCUCGGUCCCGACUGCUGUAUGGCUAUUUACAGCUGCUACGAGGUGCUUCAUUCAAGACCCCGAUGCCCGGAUCGAGGGACUAAGAGCCACGCUAUAUCUAGGAGAGGGGAGACGUCUCUGAGUAUUGCCGGUCUAAGCACGGCCCGGAGUGGGAACUUAAUCCUUUCCCUACACUGGGACUGCUUCUUCUUCUAAGCCCGACAAACACAGAAAUUCUCGUGUGUGUGUGUGUGUGUGUGUGUGUGUGUGUGUGUGUGUGUGUGUGUGUGUGUGUGUGUGUCUGUGUCUGUCUAUAUACAUCUACAUAUGCAUAUGGAUCUAAAUAGGUAGGGAUUUUCCUCGCACAUGGGGCCUCCCUCAACUCUUCUUGCCUCUGGGUUCCCUGAUAGCAAAUGAGAUGCAGAGGAGCGUGGAAGUACUGGCCGAAAGAAACUGAAACUUGGGCCUGUGAGCAAACGGCACACACAGCGUAUCCAACAAAGGCAAACUCAAGGGAGGCGAUAAGGCCUUUUGAGUCACUGGCUACCCGAUUUCCCAAGCAAUUCGAAGUGGUGGCUGCAAGGUAGCCUGGAAAAGUGCCUCCCCACGCCUCCUCCACCACCCAGCUAAACUGAAGCCAGGCAGCGGGGUCCACGGGUGCAGGGGCAGCCUUCCCCACUCAUUCCCCAAUGGGUAGGAGAUUCUGCGUAGGGUCACAUUCCUACUGUCCAGUCUGCCCUCUGCCUCUAUGUAGUACACCAGGCAAUGUCUUCCUUCAUUCCUCCACCAGAUGGGGAUACUCUGCCUCCCUGUUACCUGAAUUCCAUUUGCCAGGGAGGCUGGACAUCCCCCG
rnacentral:lncRNA from 1 species